rnacentral:rRNA from 1 species
ACUUAAAUUGAAGAGUUUGAUCAUGGCUCAGAUUGAACGCUGGCGGCAGGCCUAACACAUGCAAGUCGAACGGUAGCACAGAGAGCUUGCUCUCGGGUGACGAGUGGCGGACGGGUGAGUAAUGUCUGGGAAACUGCCUGAUGGAGGGGGAUAACUACUGGAAACGGUAGCUAAUACCGCAUAACGUCGCAAGACCAAAGAGGGGGACCUUCGGGCCUCUUGCCAUCAGAUGUGCCCAGAUGGGAUUAGCUAGUAGGUGGGGUAAUGGCUCACCUAGGCGACGAUCCCUAGCUGGUCUGAGAGGAUGACCAGCCACACUGGAACUGAGACACGGUCCAGACUCCUACGGGAGGCAGCAGUGGGGAAUAUUGCACAAUGGGCGCAAGCCUGAUGCAGCCAUGCCGCGUGUAUGAAGAAGGCCUUCGGGUUGUAAAGUACUUUCAGCGGGGAGGAAGGUGUUGUGGUUAAUAACCGCAGCAAUUGACGUUACCCGCAGAAGAAGCACCGGCUAACUCCGUGCCAGCAGCCGCGGUAAUACGGAGGGUGCAAGCGUUAAUCGGAAUUACUGGGCGUAAAGCGCACGCAGGCGGUCUGUCAAGUCGGAUGUGAAAUCCCCGGGCUCAACCUGGGAACUGCAUUCGAAACUGGCAGGCUAGAGUCUUGUAGAGGGGGGUAGAAUUCCAGGUGUAGCGGUGAAAUGCGUAGAGAUCUGGAGGAAUACCGGUGGCGAAGGCGGCCCCCUGGACAAAGACUGACGCUCAGGUGCGAAAGCGUGGGGAGCAAACAGGAUUAGAUACCCUGGUAGUCCACGCCGUAAACGAUGUCGACUUGGAGGUUGUGCCCUUGAGGCGUGGCUUCCGGAGCUAACGCGUUAAGUCGACCGCCUGGGGAGUACGGCCGCAAGGUUAAAACUCAAAUGAAUUGACGGGGGCCCGCACAAGCGGUGGAGCAUGUGGUUUAAUUCGAUGCAACGCGAAGAACCUUACCUACUCUUGACAUCCAGAGAACUUUCCAGAGAUGGAUUGGUGCCUUCGGGAACUCUGAGACAGGUGCUGCAUGGCUGUCGUCAGCUCGUGUUGUGAAAUGUUGGGUUAAGUCCCGCAACGAGCGCAACCCUUAUCCUUUGUUGCCAGCGGUUAGGCCGGGAACUCAAAGGAGACUGCCAGUGAUAAACUGGAGGAAGGUGGGGAUGACGUCAAGUCAUCAUGGCCCUUACGAGUAGGGCUACACACGUGCUACAAUGGCGCAUACAAAGAGAAGCGACCUCGCGAGAGCAAGCGGACCUCAUAAAGUGCGUCGUAGUCCGGAUUGGAGUCUGCAACUCGACUCCAUGAAGUCGGAAUCGCUAGUAAUCGUAGAUCAGAAUGCUACGGUGAAUACGUUCCCGGGCCUUGUACACACCGCCCGUCACACCAUGGGAGUGGGUUGCAAAAGAAGUAGGUAGCUUAACCUUCGGGAGGGCGCUUACCACUUUGUGAUUCAUGACUGGGGUGAAGUCGUAACAAGGUAACCGUAGGGGAACCUGCGGUUGGAUCACCUCCUUACCUUAAAGAA